GGAGAAGGUCUAUGGCUCAGUGGCAGAGCAUCUGCUUCUCUUGCAGAAGGUCCCAGGCUCAAUCCUAGCAUCUCCA
rnacentral:tRNA from 1 species